AUGGCGCAUGCCUUUGGCCUGGCUGCCUCUCCAUUCUAUUACCGACAUUGGGCCAGGGUUUUACCAUCUUCCAGGGCCCAGGUGGGCCUGGCUGUGACUGAGGGGAUGACGCGGAGGGGGGGGGGGAAGGUACGGGGGGCUGCGACUCAGGAAUUGCCAUCACCCCGGGGGCUCCAGGAUAGCUCCCGCCUCUCCUUCUCCCCUCUUUCUCUCUCCUCACACAAGAACAGACUCGUCCACCUACCCUCCUUCCCGCCCCGCUCCGUGGGGGGCCCAGGAGAAGUCCCCUCCCUUUUCCCCAGGCUCUCAGUUCUCAGCCCUUGGUGUAGGCGCCCCUACCCGUCCCCUUCCUGCAGACCCAGGCCCAGGGCUUUCUUCCGGGCGACUCAGCCAAAGGCUGCAGUGACGCUGGCCUCCACUGGGGGGCCCUCCCCUGCUCCUGGUGNNNNNNNNNNNNNNNNNNNNGCGCCCCCCGCCCCCCCGCCCCCCCGCCCCCGCCCCAGUCCUUCCACGGACCUCACCGUCCUGCCCUGGAUAGCCACCUCCUCGGCCUCUGCAUCAGGGCCUCGCCCACACUUGCUGGGGCCUCCGCAGACACCCAAGGGCGCCCACCUUAGGUCUGCAGAGCCGGACCCUCGCUGCAGAGGAUGGACCUCUGCCCCUCACAUGGCACUGGCCAGCUUGAUUUUUCAUCGUAAUGAAAACUCUGUAAACCCACCUGUGGUUCACACUGAACUCCUUCCAUUCACUGAACCCCAUCUAGGGGUCUUGGGCAGCGCCAUGGCAUUUCUGCCUGUCACAGCUCUCCCUUCUCACUCCUCCACCCCGCCUUUAGCAGGGGCGAUUUUCAAAAUUUCCAUCAACGGGAGGGGCGCGUCGUUGAGGCUGCAGUUCCCACGAGCGAACACGCGGGGGCGCCUCCCAGGAGAGCUACCGCGGGCCGGGGCGGCCCAGCCUCGGCGGGGAGCCCGCCACCCAGCCUUUGUCUGCAGGGGUACAGGGCCACUGCCAGGGCCUCCUUGCUGGGCAUCCCAGCUCGUUCUGGACCGGGGGUUGUGGUUGGGGUGA
rnacentral:lncRNA from 1 species